rnacentral:rRNA from 1 species
UACGGAGGGUCCGAGCGUUAAUCGGAAUCACUGGGCGUAAAGGGAGCGUAGGCGGCGCGGUAAGUCAGAUGUGAAAUCUCAGAGCUCAACUCUGAAACUGCAUCCGAUACUGCCGUGCUAGAGUAAUGGAGGGGUAAGUGGAAUUCUCGGUGUAGCAGUGAAAUGCGUAGAUAUCGAGAGGAAGACCAACGGCGAAGGCAGCUUACUGGACAUUUACUGACGCUGAGGCUCGAAGGCUAGGGUAGCGAAA